rnacentral:rRNA from 1 species
GUGACCUCAGAUCAGGUAGGAA